rnacentral:lncRNA from 1 species
UCCAAUACAUGUAGUUAGAGUAUUAUUUAGGUUGUUGUUUAAGUAGGCUUUGAGCAGAUCAGAGGCCCUGCACCCAAUGAAAAGUCGCCGGCGGCCACGCACGCACGCACAGCCUUGCACUUGCACGCUGCCUCCCGCUCGGCCUUACGAGGAUCCGAGUCAGCCGGCGUCACUGUCCAUUCACUCACGCAGCCGCUAUCAUAUCAUAUCAUAUGCAUCUCACCCAACGGGGCUUUCCACGUCCCACCUUCCCGCCCGCGCACCCAUAAAAGCCGUCGCCGGCGACGCUGUCACCCCCCGCAACGGAGGCAUCGCCGAGACGGACCAAAGCGCCACCACCAGACGGGCCGGCGGAGAUGAAGAAGUGCGCGUCGGAGCUGGAGCUCGAGGCCUUCAUUCGGCAGCACCUCGCCGCCGCCGAGGCCCAGCGGGGCAGGCCCGGCCACGGACCGGACGACGACGCCGGGUUCGGCGAGCACCCCAGCUUCUCCCCCGGCGCCGGCCUGCCGGGCCUCUGCUUCGGCGACUCGGUGAGCAGCUGCCACUACCCAAAGCCUCUGCCUCUGUGCCUGUACCGUGCUGUAGUGUUCGCGCGUUUAACUGAAUUUCCUCCUGCGCUCCAGCAGAACGCCCUGGAGCUGCAAGAGAGCAACGCCGGCCACCUGUGGUGGUCCGACGGCCUCCGUGCGCCGCAGCACCACGCCGUCCCGGCGCCGACCCAGUCGCAAACGGCCGCCAUCUCCGGUAUGCGCCUUCAGCCUGCGACAGAGUUGGAUCUUGUUAUCAGUAUGCGCAGAAUGUUGUAGGUUAAGUCAAACACCUAGCGAGCAAACGCCCAUGUGAACCGCAGUGGAUUCCAUUGAAAAUUUUAUCAACAAAAGAGAAACAUCACCUGCUGAUCUGUGUGUGGAUGUUUUCCUCUGCUCCAAAAUUCAUAAGAUUUUCUCUUGCCUUCCAAAAUUGCCCUGGUCCAAUAUAAAAAUGGAACUACUCUGACUUAGAGUUGGGAAGGAGAUUGAUAGAGACACACCAGGGUUCUGUCUCACCUGCUACCACAUUGUUUUGGUCGCAGCUAGCCCGAGGGAAACAAUCUCAGGGAACCAGGCUCUCGAAACCGAGUCCGACUCCGAUAGCGAGUCACUGGUCGAGAUAGGGGGAGGCCGAUGCAAGCGGAGUGGCAAAUCAUCGGAUACCAGGCGAAUAAGACGGUAUGCAGGGAACAAGCCUGUGCCCAGUUCUAUAAGGUCUCAUGAACUCUGAACAAACUGCCUACUGUUUCUUCUUUACAAUGAAUUAUCUGUGUAAAUUUCAGGAUGGUGUCCAACAGGGAGUCAGCUCGACGGUCGAGGAGGAGGAAGCACGCACAAUUAACUGAUCUCGAAUUGCAGGUACAACCCUGGAUUCACUCCCUCCCUGCUGUUUUAUCAAACAGAAAUUAC